AUAAGAUAUCUUUUUAGGCAAAUUAAAAUUCGGCUUUUGUAAAAAUCUGGUAGAUUAUUCUUAUUGGAUGGUUCCAGGAAACGACUAAUGAGCUGGUUUGAAUGUCAUUUUAAUUGAAAAUCACAGAAGAAUAGGAUACUAUAUGCCUAGGAGGAUCUAGCCAGCAUUGAAAGGGUUACUCAGUUGAUUUAACUGUUAGCCAAGGUUUUAUGGCUUUUCGCUGUGUGAAGUUGCUUUUUGUCCAUGAAGUACCCUCAUAAAUCUUAUUAAGUGACAGAAGAUGCUGUUAGCCAUUGGAACAUGUAUAGCCAUCCCAUUGUAUUGCAUACUUAUGUUAUACUAAAUAUUCACUGAUUAUUAUCAUGCAUGCUGCCUAAUAUUAUUGUUAUGUUAUAUGGUC
rnacentral:lncRNA from 1 species